rnacentral:lncRNA from 1 species
AUGCUGUCAUUACACACUGGUUAUGCUGCCAUUGCACACUGGUUAUGCUGUCAUUACACACUAGUUAUGCUGUUAUGCUGUCAUUACACACUGGUUAUGCUGUUAUGCUGUCAUUACACACUAGUUAUGCUGUCAUUACACACUGGUUAUGCUGUCAUUACACACUGGUUAUGCUGUCAUUGCACACUGGUUAUGCUGUUAUGCUGUCAUUACACACUGGUUAUGCUGUUAUUACACACUGGUUAUGCUGUCAUUACACACUGGUUAUGCUGUCAUUACACACUAGUUAUGCUGUCGUUACACACUGGUUAUGCUGUCAUUACACACUGGUUAUGCUGUCAUUGCACACUAGUUAUGCUGUCGUUACACACUAGUUAUGCUGUCGUUACACACUGGUUAUGCUGUUAUGCUGUCAUUGUACACUGGUUAUGCUGUCAUUACACACUAGUUAUGCUGUCGUUACACACUGGUUAUGCUGUUAUGCUGUCAUUGUACACUGGUUAUGCUGAUAUUGGUAAACAAAGCACUUUCUCCCUCUGUCUCUCUCGCAGGAUAGCGUGUCGUGUGGCCGCCGUAGUGGUGGCUCUACCUCUUCUCUCUCUACCCCCCCCCUCCAUCUCCCACAGCCCCCCCCAGCCGCCUCAGCUCAACGGGGUUGCCAUGGGAACAAUGCUGCUGGGAGGGGGAGCUGGGCUAGGGAUGGGGGGGAUAGUGGGGGUUCUGAACAGAGUCAUACAGACCACUUCCAGCCCUCACACAUACAGCUACACACAUACCUCCUCACCGGGCCCCAGCACCGCUCUGCCCAUCUCCAGCUCCAUCAACACCAGGUUGGGUGCCUUGUCUGAGCAGCAGAGGCUCUUACUGCACCAGAACCAACUACAACAGCUACUGUCUUCACAGCCCUCUGCGGAACAGCAGCAGGUGUUAUUUUACCAGUUGAUGCAGCAACAACAAGACCUCCACCAACUCCAGUCUUCCUCCUCCCAGCUUCCCUCCAUCCCUCUCUCCUCUGCUCAGCUGCCCAUCACCUCCCUUCUUUCCUCCUCCAAUGCCCACGGCACCAUCACCGCCAACCCCUUCCUGGCUCUGCACACACACCCCGACACACACACACACCCCGACACACACACACACGCCGCUGCACAGAAGCCCCGGCUGGCUGAGAAAGCUGUUGGAGUCACUGGACAGGAGAAGACCUGACCCACAAAACAUAUCUCUCUCUUCUCUCUAUCCAUCUCUCUCUCUCUUUCUGUUGGUGAUUCUCUCUACUCUCUAUCCAUCUCUCUAUUCAUCCAUCUCUCUCUCUCUCUCUCUCUCUCUCUCUCUCUCAGGGGUCUCCACCAUCAUGUGAUCAGUGCUGUGUGUUUAACCACACAAGCUCACCCACAUAGAACUACAAACUCCAAAAAACGAUCAGGACACUAACAUAGCUGACUGACUCACAGCUCAGCUGGAGAGAUGCGGUCUGGGAAGUAUGACUCUCAUUGGACAGUUUUAAGAGAGGGAGGAGUUUGUAACUGCUUUUACCUCUCUAUAUCUGUGUGUAUGGACCAGCAUAAGACCUGACCAGAGACCACUCUAAUGUAAGACUGACUGACUGCUCAGCCAUGGAAGCCUUGCUAUGACUGUCUUUCUGCUGUACCUACCUCACACACACACAAACCAGCCGAUUAGUGCCCACAACUCUCAGCAUCGGCCAAUAGGAAUCCACAACAUUCAUGACUGGCCAGUCAGGGUCCAAUCCCCAAGUGCCUAAAGCCGAGGGGGCGGGGUUACUCAUACUCCUCUUCCUGUCUCUCCUGUCAGACAUCCAUUCUCACCAUAUUACUGGCUGUCAAGCUGCGUUGCCCAGGCAACAGGUCACACAACACAUUCUGAGAAGCUGGAAAUUGUAUUGUGCUGCUUUCACAAACUACAGAAACAAACUUUAUAAAUGGUCUCUUUUUAUUUAUUUAGAAGUGCCCGCUGUUCUUUCAAGCGUUUGUUUUAUACUAAUGUUUUAAGUUUUUCUCACUCUUGCUGUAAACAUUUUUGAGGGAAACAAAUAUUUGUUGUGUACUCAGAAAGAUUGAAGUAGUGGUGGUGGUGGAGGUGGUGGUGUAUAUAGCUGCUAUUGUGGGGAGGGGUGUGGAUUCAAUGGCACAGUUUUUACCUCGUUUGUGUAAAUAAAUAUAUAUUUUUCAUUGGCUGUGGGGUGUAAAUAAGUGAUUGUGAUUGGCCCUGCUGGUGUGAAGGAUAGCCAAUGAAACCUCAUUUUGUGUGACUCUUAUGAGCAGACAAUAGGAGACGGUGACUGAACACAAAGUAUUAAUUUAUUUUUAUAUGUGCAGCGACAUUGUUUCGUUGUUUUUCUAAGUUUCACACGGGUUAUUUUAUACUCGGCACCACGUUUCCGUCUGUGUUCACUUUUGUUUGGAUCAGUUUUGUACAACUGAAAAAUCAUAAAACAUCCUCAAGUGUUUCUAUUUCAAGUCACCGAAAUAAAGAAGCGUUCUGGAUAAAGAAAGAGACGGACUGUUGGUGAAAAGACGAGGAGGAGGACUUACAGGAAGCCUGUGUCGGGAUGUCGUCAUGGUUUGGUUUGUGAGAACAUCGGUAAAGCUUGAUUUAACAGCUCUGUUCAAGUGCUUUUUGUAAAAUGCAUUUUAAUGCUUUGGUUGAAUAAAGAACAGAUCUACCUCCCUAAACCUUCUGUCUAAUAACAGGUUUCUCUUUGUUUAACCUCUUUACCCCCCAUCUCUGGAUGGAUGAAGGGAUGACAAACAGACUCUCGCACUCUCUCUCGUUUUCCGUCUUCUGUCUAGUGUUUAGCAGUUUCUGCAUGCCCCUUUAAUAGUGGUCCAGGUUCCCCCUGCCCCAGCAAACACACACACACAAUGUGCACCCCUGUCCCUGAUGACUUCCAGCUGCCUAGCUGUGUGUGUGUGUGUGCGCCAUUCUGCUACAUCUGCUUCUGCUCGGGGAAUUAAAAGCUCACUUUCCCCUCACAUCUCAGCCCCCCAGCAACUCUUCAACCCUCACCCUCUAUCAGCCCUGUCACUCAAGUCCAGGCUGUUUAAACAUGCCCCCUCUCUACCUCCUUGUCCACCACUCUCCUCCCCUCCUCCCCUGUCCUUAUUCAUCGCCCCGUCCUCCUCCUCCUUUCCUCCCUCUCAUUCAAUCCAUUCACAGCAUUCCCAUUCUGGGGUGGGAGCAGAGCCGUCGUCCAUCAUUGAUUACCUCCCAGCAGCCACUGCUUCUCCCCGGGGGAGGGGAGGUUAACAGCUGAGUGAGGACCCCCAUGCUCCCGAAUGAGGUGCCUGAUCAAAAGUCAAAACACUAAGCUGCAGAACAUCAGUCGUUUCACACACAAUUCUCCAUUGAGUUUUCUGCUUCAUCUGGAAGCAGGAAACUGGCCCAAAAUGUCCAGAUGAAGAGAUCAAAAGAAGUCAUAGUAAUAAUAAUUAGACAUGUAUUUAGUAAUUAAUUUAAAAUUGUAUUUAAAUUAAACAUGAAUUUAGUAAUUCAAAUGAAAAAUUACCAUUUAGGAAAACCAUUAGCAGAAAACCAUUAGCAGCUGUAGUUGGGUGUAAAUCAUUAUGGGAAUCGUGAGGGGGUUAAUCCUCUCUCUGUGUGUGUGUGUUGUGAGGGUGAUGAUCCAGGGAAAAUUUACUCCCAGCUGCCUGGCCAAGAUUCCGGUUCAGAAUGGAACCAGAUCGCUCUGACAGAGGUGUUUAGGGCCAGAAACAGAGAGACAGAGGAGAGUAGGGGAGAGACAAAAACAGAGGAGCGAGAGGGAGGAGAUAGCGGGAGACUGAAGUGUU